rnacentral:rRNA from 1 species
GUGGGGAAUCUUGCGCAAUGGGCGAAAGCCUGACGCAGCCAUGCCGCGUGAAUGAUGAAGGUCUUAGGAUUGUAAAAUUCUUUCACCGGGGACGAUAAUGACGGUACCCGGAGAAGAAGCUCCGGCUAACUUCGUGCCAGCAGCCGCGGUAAUACGAAGGGGGCUAGCGUUGCUCGGAAUUACUGGGCGUAAAGGGCGCGUAGGCGGACAGCUUAGUCAGAGGUGAAAGCCCAGGGCUCAACCUUGGAAUUGCCUUUGAUACUGGCUGUCUUGAGUUUGGGAGAGGUGAGUGGAACUCCGAGUGUAGAGGUGACAUUCGUAGAUAUUCGGAAGAACACCAGUGGCGAAGGCGACUCACUGGCCCAAUACUGACGCUGAGGCGCGAAAGCGUGGGGAGCAAACAGGAUUAGAUACCCCGUGUAGUCC